UGUGUAGGCGGUUGCUUAAGUUUGGUGUGAAAUCUCCCGGCUCAACCGGGAGGGUGCGCCGAAUACUGAGUGACUCGAGUGCGGGAGAGGAGAGUGGAAUUCCUGGUGUAGCGGUGAAAUGCGUAGAUAUCAGGAGGAACACCGGUGGUGUAGACGGCUCUCUGGACCGUAACUGACGCUGAGACACGAAAGCGUGGGUAGCAAACAGGAUUAGAUACCCUGGUAGUCCACGCCCUAAACGAUGCAUAUUUGGUGUAGGCCGUUCAGUCGGUCCGUGCCGGAGCUAACGCGUUAAAUAUGCCGCCUGGGGAGUACAGUCGCAAGGCUGAA
rnacentral:rRNA from 1 species